rnacentral:rRNA from 1 species
GAUGAACGCUAGCGGCAGGCUUAAUACAUGCAAGUCGAGGGGCAGCACAUGAGUAGCAAUACGAUGGUGGCGACCGGCGCACGGGUGCGUAACGCGUAUGCAAUCUACCUUUAACAGAGGGAUAGCCCCGAGAAAUCGGGAUUAAUACCUCAUAAAAUUUUCACAUGGCAUCAUGAGAGAAUCAAAGCUGAGGCGGUUAAAGAUGAGCAUGCGUGACAUUAGCUAGUUGGAGAGGUAACGGCUCACCAAGGCGACGAUGUCUAGGGGUUCUGAGAGGAUGAUCCCCCACACUGGUACUGAGACACGGACCAGACUCCUACGGGAGGCAGCAGUAAGGAAUAUUGGUCAAUGGGCGGGAGCCUGAACCAGCCAUGCCGCGUGCAGGAAGACGGCCUUAUGGGUUGUAAACUGCUUUUAUCGGGGAAUAAAACUUUCUACGCGUAGAGAGCUGAAGGUACCCGAAGAAUAAGCAUCGGCUAA